GACAGGGGAUGCAAGCGUUACUCGGAAUUACUGGGCGUAAAGCGUCUGCAGGUUUUUUACCACGUCUGGUGUAAAAGCACGGAGCUCAACUCCGUGUACGUGCCGGAAACGAGUAGAAUAGAGUCAUUCAGAGGCAACUGGAAUGUCGUGUGUAGGGGUAAAAUCCGUAGAUCCACGAUGGAACGCCAAAAGCGAAGGCAGGUUGCUGGGAAUGUACUGACACUCAGAGACGAAAGCGUGGGGAGCAAAGGGG
rnacentral:rRNA from 1 species